AGCCAUGCAGUAAGCACAGAGCGAACUAUUCUUUCGCCUUUUACUAAAGAAUACCGUGUGCUCGUUGCAAUGAAUGACCUACUCUAAUUUUUGAAGGUGUUUCUCUUUUUGGAGAAAA